UCCUUGGUGCCCAAGAUGGCUCUGGGCCCAUGGUCAUCUGCUCAGGCAUCUGCACAGAAGACGGUUCUGCCUGGUCAGGUACUGCCUGGUAUGUGAGCUUGUGCUUUGGUCACACACCCCCUCAGCUCUCAGGGCCUGAGGGCAGGAUUUCCCCUGGAAGAACCUGAGGCUGGAGCUUGGUGGCCUGGGUCUGGGAAGGAUCUCUGCCUCUGCUUCCCAAGUGCCCGGCUCUAACCAACGCUACAGGUCUGGGCUCCUCGCUUGUGAAUCCUUCCUCACCACUGCCUGUGCCAUUUUACAGGUGAACAAAGCUGGGGCUUCGGACCCUCCUCUCUCUCUGUUGCUUGGGCUCCCAGCCUCUGAGGACAGCGGCCACCGCCUCCCCCCACCCCCCGUUAUUAUUCUAAACCUGAGGGGCCCAGAGAUGCACUAAGCCAGUUCUGUUUGGGGUCUUUAGAGAAACCUUGCUUGCUUGUCCCCACAACUGGGUCUUCAACCUUGACUGGCACCUACCUGUUGACGAGUGUCUCCUGCCCUCCCUGGGCGUCCUGGGCCAUCUCAUUCCUCCCAUCCUUUGAGUUGAUAGCUCUAUUACCCUGUUGAGGUCUGGGGAGGGGGGGUAACUGAGGCCCCCUGAGCUUCACUGAGGUUCCCUCAAAGGCCUGAGGGGCCCUCCAGAGCAGCCUGCCUGGGACCCCAGCUGUGUCUUUAGGCCUCAGUUUUCUCCUGCUCUGCCCAGCCCUUGUUAAGAACCAGGAUGAAGCAGCCUCUAGGACCUGGCCAUAGGCCCCUGGAGACCGAUUGGACGCUGGGGGUGGGCAGGAGUCAGGAAGCUUUGCAGUCGUGGGUCCGAGUCCACACCGCUCCCUGUGUGGUCUGGCAGCCUGUUUCUCUCUAAGAUGGCAGUCGUGAUGAUAAGACCCACCUCACGGUCUGAGGUGAUGCAGGGGGUCCUUGAGGGUGGGAUGGAGAAGACGGGCCUCCUUCUCUGACCUGCUACAAGUUUCAGGCCUGUGUGACCUUCCCUGUCCAGAGGAUGGGUGAGCUGUUUGCAGGUUUGGGGGAGGAGGGUUUGGGCAGUUCCCCAUCUCCUCCCAAGAAACCCUUUCUCCUAAGAAGUUCCCAGGAUCGCCUCUCAUGGGCUCUACUCUCAGCGACCCCAGCAGGAUGGGGUCUGUCCCGCUGCCAGCCUGGCCGCCCCCAUCUAGCUAUCGCUGCACCCUGCUCUUUUACAGGCCGACAGACCAUGGCAGAGUUCUCCCAGAAACGGGGGAGGCAGCGUGACGAGGUCCUGGGCAGUACUGUGGAUUUCCUCCUGGCCAAUGCCCGCCUGGUGCUGGGCGUUGGUGGGGCCGCUGUGCUGGGAAUUGCUACCUUGGCUGUGAAGCGGCUCAUCGACAGGGCCACCAGCCCUCGAGACGAGGAUGAUGCCAAAGGGGACACCACAUGCCUGGAGGAGAGCUGGAAGGAACUGACCCUACUCAAGACCACGCCACGCCUGCAGCCCCGGACCCCACCUGCUGCCCUCAGCCAGCCAGCAUCGCUCCCCGCCCCCUUGCCAUCUGCCCCCGAGGGGCCCUCAGACACCGAGCCUCAGCCGUUGCCUCAGCCGAGCUCCCCAGCACCGCUGUGCCUGACGUUUCAGGAGAAGCUGCUGGCGUUCGAGCGGGACCACGUGACCAUUCCAGAGGCCCACGUGGCUCUGGCCAAGCAGCUGGCCGGUGACAUCGCCCUUGAGCUGCAGGCCUACUUGCGGAACAAAUUCCCAGAACUGCCCUUCGGGGCCCUUGUGCCCGGCGGGCCGCUCUAUGACGGGCUCCAGGGGGGGGCCGCCAGCCGCGUGCGCCUCCUGGUUCCCCUGGUGCUGGAGGUGGGCCUGUGGGGCCUGGUGCCCGGCGUGGACACCGUGGCCAGGGACCCUCGCUGCUGGGCCGUGCGCAGGACUCAGCUUGAGUUCCGUCCCCGCGGGAGCAGCCCCUGGGACCGCUUCCUGGUGGGCGGCUACCUCUCUUCCCGGGUCCUGCUGGAGCUGCUCCGCAAGGCCCUGGCCUCCUCCGUCAACUGGCCGGCCAUCGGCGGCCUCCUCGGGUGCCUGAUCCGGCCCAGCGUGGCCUCGGAGGAGCUGCUGCUCGACGUGCAGCACGAGCGCCUCGAGCUCACCGUCGCCGUGCUCCUGGCGGUCACCGGUGCCGACGCCGAAGACCGCCUCCUUCUGGCCUGGCCCCUGGAGGGGCUGGCCGGGAACCUCUGGCUGCAGGACCUGUACCCUGCAGAGGCCGCCAGGCUGCGGGCCCUGGACGAGCGUGAUGCCGGGACCCGCCGACGGCUGCUGCGGCUGCUGUGCGGGGUCUGCCGCGGCCACCCGGCCCUGGGGCGGCUGGACCGCCGCCAUCUGACCCAGGUGGUUCUGCGCCUGGGGGAGGAGGAGGUGGACUGGGCCGAGGCGGCCCUGGGGGAGCGCUUCCUGCAGGCCCUGGAGUCGCUCAUCGACAGCCUGGAGCGGGCCAGCCUGCCCUGCCACUUCAACCCCGGCGUGAACCUCUUGAGCGGCCUGCGUGAGGAGGAGAUUGACGACAUCGGCUUCGCGCUCUACAGCGGCCUGCAGGCCCCCGAGUGUCUGCUCUAGAUGGGUGGGGACAGGGCGGCCGGCACUCGUGCUGAUGCUGGUGAGCUGUGUGCGCCUCCCCUCCAGGAAUUUGGAGAGCACUUUUUCUCUUGCUUUAGCCAGAAUAGAGGAGGGUGCUCUUAAGUCCGCGGGGUUAGCAUGUCCCGGGCAGCAGUCCGGGGAGCCCCAAGCCCGGGCCUCUGGGGCAGCCGGCCUCUCCCGCCCCUCGGGCCGACCCUAGGACCUUGGGCUCAGUCCGUCGUCACCAGCAGUGAACGCACUGACAGAACACGGCUUCUGCUGUCCUAGGCAGGGGAUAAAGGCAGCUCCGUUUUUCUGUCGAGAGGGGGCCGGAGUCACCUGGUACCCCCGGAUUGCAGCUUUGGGGCUGAUUUAAAGGCCGCGUCUCCCGACGUCACCUGCGUGUCUAGUUGGCUUGUCGAGCUCUCCCCUCUAGCCUGGAACAGGAGCUCAGUCUGGUGUGCUGCCCACCUCGUACCUCAGGGGAAGGCCCCUCUCCCUCCAACCGGGCCAUUUUUCUCUUUGGGCAGAGAGGCCCCUGGGAGAGCCCCCUUCCGCUGCUGGGGGAGCCAAGGUUCCCUGUGCUGCCCACCUUGCCUAGAGGCAGGGCUGUCCGACUAGCUGCUGCUGGGUCCGGCCGGAGAGCGGAGGCCGCGCCUUCCCAGGGAAGCCGGCUGAGCGGGCCUGACCUCCACAGUGCCAACCUGAACUGCUCCCCGCUGACACCUGUGUCCUCACUGAAGCCUGGCAGAGGUGGGGAGGGAGGGCCGCCCCACCUCCCAGGCAUCCCUCCCGUCUUUGGUAUCCUUCUUGCUGAAGCAAAGCUAUGCCUCAAAGAAUGUGAAUGAGAAUAAAAGGAAAAAUUCAAA